rfam:Pan troglodytes isolate Yerkes chimp pedigree #C0471 (Clint) chromosome 2A, whole genome shotgun sequence.
GCCAGGUGUGGUGGCAGGUGCCUGUAGUCUCAGCUACUUGGGAGGCUGAGGCAGGAGGAUCACUAGAGCCCAGGAGUUCUGGGCUAUAGUGUGCUAUGCCCAUCGGGUAUCUGCACUAAGUUCAACAUUAUUAUGGUGACCUCCCGGGAGCAAGGAACCACCAGGUUGCCUAAGGAGUGGUGAACCGGCCCAGGUAGGAAACAGAGCAGGUCAAAACUCCCGCACUGAUCAGUAGUGGGAUCACACCUGUGAAUAGCCACUGUACUCCAGCCUGGGCAACAUAGUGACACCCUGUCUCUA